AAGAGAGAGAGGGGGACACAGACAGUAGAAAAGAGAGUGAGACAAAUAGUGGAAAAGAGAGAGAGAUAAAUACAAUGGAAAAGAGAGAGAGAGACACAGAUAGUGGAGAAGACAGAGAGAGAAAUAGACCAUGGAGGAGAGAGAGAGAGAGAGAGAGAGAGAGAGAGAGAGAGAGAGAGAGAGAGAGAGAGAGAGAGAAAUAGACAGUGGAGAAGAGAGAGAGGGAGAAAGAGAGGAGAAUAGAGAGAGGGAGAAAGAGACAGAAGAGAGAGAGAAAGAGAAAGAGUGGAGAAGAGAGAGAGAGAGAAAUAGUGGAGAAGAGAGAGAGAGAGAAAUAGACAGUGGAAAAGAGAGAGAGAGAGAGAGAGAGAGAGAGAGAGAGAGAGAAAUAUACAGUGGAGGAGAGAGAGAGACACAGACAGUUGAAAAGAGAGUGACAAAUAUAGACAGUGGAAAAGAGAGUGAGAGAGAAAAAAGAAAUAGUGCAGAAUAGAGAGAAAGAAAUAGACAGUGGAAAAUAGAGAGAUUAGAGAAAUAGGCAGUAGAGAAGAGAGAGAGAGAAAUAUACAGUCCAGAAGAGAGAUAGAGAUACAGACAGUGGAAAACAGAGAGAGAGGAAGAAAUAGACAGUGGGGAAGAGAGAGAAAGAAACAAACAGUGGAUAGGAGAGAGGUAGAAAUAGACAGUGGAGAAGGGAGCGAGAGAGACAAUGAAAAAUAGAAAGAAAGAAAUAGACAGUGAAGAAAACAGAGAGAGAGAAAAAUAUACAGUGGAGAAGCAAGAGAGAGAGAGAGGCAGUGGAGGAGAGAGAGAGAAAUAGACAGUGGAGGAGAGAGAGACACACACAUGCAGUGGAGAAGUGUGAAAAAGAGAAAUAGACAGUGGAGAAGAGUGAGAGAGAGAAGAUAGUGGAGAAGAGUGAGAGAGAGAAAUAGACAGUGGAGAAGAGAGUGAGAGAAAUACACACACUGGAGAAGAGAGAGAGAGAAAUAGCAGAGAAGAGAGAGAGAGAGAGAGACACAGACAGUAGAGAAGACAGAGAGAGAAAUGGAAAGUGGAGAAGAGAGAGAGAAACACAGUGGAGAAGAGUGAGAGAGAAGUAGGCAGUGGAGAAGAGAAAGAAAUACACAGUGUAGAAGAAAGGGAGGGAGAGAGAGUGAAAUAGACGGUGGAGAAGAGAGACAGAGAGAAAUAGACAGUGGAGAAGAGAGAGAGAAAUAGAUAGGGUAGAAGGGAGAGAGAGAAAUAGACAGAGAAGAGAGAAAGACAUGCAUUGGAGAAGAGAGAGUGAGAAAUAGACAGUGAAGAAGAGAGAGACACAGAGAGGGGAGAAUAGGGAGAGAGAGAAAUAGAUAGUAGAGAAGAGAGAGAGAGAAAUAGACAGUAGAGAAGAGAUAGAGAGAAAUAGACAGUGGAGAAGAGAGAGAGUGAAAUAGACAGUGGAGAAGAAAGGGAGGGAGAGAGAGAGAAAUACACACUGGAGAAGAGAGACAGAGAGAAAUAGACAGGGGAGAAGAGAGAGAGAAAGGAUAGUGGAGAAGAGAGAGAGAGAAAUGGACAGUGAAGAAGAGAGAGAGAGAAAUAGACAGGGGAGAAGAGAGCAAGACAGAAAUAGACAGUGGAGAAAAGAGAGAGAGUGAAAUAGACAGUGGAGAAGAGGGAGAGAGAGAGAGAGAGAGAGACAGUGGAGGAGAGAGAGAAAUAGACAGUGCAGAAGAGAGAGAGAGAGAGAAAUGAACAGUGGAGAAGAGCAAGAGUAGGACAGACAAAAAAGAAUAGAGAGAGAGAAAUAGACAGUGGAAAAUAGAGAGAUAGAGAAAUAGGCAGUAGAGAAGAGAGAGAGAGAAAUAUACAGUCGAGAAGAGAGAUAGAGAUACAGACAGUGGAAAACAGAGAGAGAGGGAGAAAUAGACAGUGGAGAAGAGAGAGAAAGAAACAAACAGUGGAUAGGAGAGAGGGAGAAAUAGACAGUGGAGAAGGGAGCGAGAGAGACAGUGGAAAAUAGAAAGAGAGAAAUAGACAGUGAAGAAAACAGAGAGAGAGAGAGAAAUAUACAGUGGAGAAGAGAGAGAGAGAGAGAGGAGGAGGAGAGAGAGAGAAAUAGACAGUGGAGGAGAGAGAGACAAGGCACAAGGAGUGAGAAGUGUGAAAAGAGAAACAGAUGUGGAGAAGAGUGAGAGAGAGAAAUAGUGGAGAAGAGUGAGAGAGAGAAAUAGACAGUGGAGAAGAGAGUGAGAGAAAUACACACACUGGAGAAGAGAGAGAGAGAAAUAGCAGAGAAGAGAGAGAGAGAGAGAGACACAGACAGUAGAGAAGACAGAGAGAGAAAUGGAAAGUGGAGAAGAGAGAGAGAAACACAGUGGAGAAGAGUGAGAGAGAAGUAGGCAGUGGAGAAGAGAAAUAAAAAGAAAUGCACAGUGUAGAAGAAAGGGAGGGAGAGAGAAUGAAAUAGAUGGUGUAGAAGAGAGACAGAGAGAAAUAGAAAGUGGAAAAGGGAGAGAGAGAGAAAUAGACAUUGAAGAAGAUAGAGAGUGGGACAGACAGUGUUGAAACAGAAGAGAGAAAUAGACAGAGAAGAGAGAAAGACACAUACAGUGGAAAAGAGAGAGUGAGAAAUAGACAGUGAAGAAGAGAGAAAGAGAGACACAGACAAUGGACAAUAGAGAGAGAGAGACAAAAACGGGGGAGAAUAGAGAGAGAGAGAAAUAGAUAGUGGACAAGAGAGAAAGGGAGACAAAGAAAAGAAGAGAGAGAGAGAGAGAAAUAGACAGUGGAGGAGAGAGAGAGAAAUAGACAGUGGAGAAGAGGGAGAGAGAGACACAGACAAUGGACAAUAGAGAGAGAGAGACAAAGACAAUGGACAAUAGAGAGAGAGAGACAAAAACGGGGGAGAAUAGAGAGACAGAGAAAUAGAUAGUGGACAAGAGAGAAAGGGAGACAAAUAGACAGUGGAAGAGAGAGAGAGAGAAAUAGACAGUGGAGAAGAGAGAGAGAGAGAGAGAAAAUAGACAAGAGAGAGAGAGAGAAAUAGACAGUGGAAAAGAGAGAGAGAGACUCAGACAGUGAAGAAGAGAGAGAGACACAGACAGUGGGAAAGAGAGAGAGAAAUGGUGGAGAAGAGAGAGAAACAGAGAGUGAAGAAGAGAGAGAGACAGACAGUAGAAAAGAGACAGAGAGAGAAAUAGAUUGUGGGGAAGAGAGAGAGUGACAGAGAGUGUAGAGGGGAGAGAGAGAGAUACAGACAGUGGAAAAGAGAAAGAGAGAAAUAGUGGAGAAGAGAGAGAUAAAAAAAUAGACUGGAAAAGAGAGAGAGAGAGAGAGAGACAGAGACAGUGGAGAAGAGGGAUAGAGAUAGAAAUAGACAGUGGAGAAGAGAGAACAAGACAGACAGUGGAGAGGAGGAGAGAAAUUGACAGUUGAGAAGAGAGAAAGAGACACAGACAGUGGAAAAAAUAGAGAGAAACAGAUAUGGAUAGAGAGAGAGAGAACAGAUAUGAGAAGAGAGAGAGAGAUGGAAAUAGACAGUGGAGAAGAGAGAAAGAGACAGACAGUGGAGAGGAGAAUGAGAGAAAUUGUGCUGAGAAGAGAGAAAGAGACACAGACAGUGGAAAAAAUAGAGAGAGAAAUAGACCAUGGAUAGAGAGAGAGAGAGAAACAGAUAGUGGAGAAGCGUGAGAGAGAGAAAUAGUGGAGAAGAGAGAGAUAGAAAUAGACAGUGGAGGAGAGAGAGAGAGGAUGAAGUAGAGGAAGAGAGCACGAGAAAAUGGAGUGGAAAAGACAGAGAAAGAGAGAAGCAGAAGAGAGAAAGAAGGAACGAGAGAGAAAUAGAACCUGGUAAAGAGAGAGAGGGAGAAAAUGAGAACGGGAGAUUAAAAAAGAGUACAAGGAGUGGAAGAGACAGAAAGAUAAAGGGAAAAAUGAGGAAAAGAGAGAGGGAGAAGGAGAAAGAGAGGGAGAAGACAGGAAGAGAGGGGACAAGAGAGGAAGAAAGAGAGACAAAAGUAGAGAGUAAAAGAGGGGGCGAGGGAAGUGAAGAGAGAGGGGAAAAAGAGAGGCAGAAGGAGAAGAAGAAGCAGGAGCGGGGGAGAAGAGAGUUGAAGAGAGAGAAGAAAAGAGAAAAAGAGAUGGAGAAAGAGAGGGGGAGAGAGAAGAGGAAAGAGAGGAAGAGACAGAGAGGAGGGAAGAGAUAGAGGAAGAGAGAAAAAAAUAGACAAAGAAAGAGAGGGGGGAGGGAACAAGAGUGGGAGAGAAGGGGAAAAAGGAGAGAGAGCGGUGGGAGAGGGAAAAAAAGAGAAAGUCAAGAGUGGAUGAGAGGGAGAGAGACACACAGGGGAGAGAGAGACAAAGGGAAAGAAGGAGUUGGAGAGAGAAAAAAGAGAAGUAAGAGAGAAAAAGGAAGAGCGAGAGGAGAGAGAGGAAAAGCGGUGGAAAGAGAGAGAGGAAGAAAGUGAGGAGGAAAGAGAAAAAUAGAGCGGAAGAGAGAGAAAGAAAAGAGAGGGCGAGAGAGGGAGAAAAAGAGGAGGAGAGAAAUGUAGACAGGAGGAGAGAGGAAGAGAGUGGAAUAGAGAGAGAAAGAGAGGAGGAGAAAAAUGAUGAGAGGAGGACAGAAAGAGUGAGAGAGAGAGAAAUAAAGUGGAAGAGACAGAGACAGUGGAAGAUAGGAAGAGACAAUGAGAGAAAGAGAGAAGAAAAAAUAGAGUGGAAAAGAGAGAGAGAGAGAGAGAGGGAGAGAGGAAAAAAGAGAAAGAGGGAGAGAGAAAAAAGAGUGGAAGACAGAGGGGAAGAGGAGGAAAAAGGAAAAGAGAGAGCAAAAGAAAGCAAGAAAAGGGAGAGAGGUGGGGAGAAAGAGGGAGAAGAGAGGAAAAGCGAGGAAGAGAGAGAAAAAGAACAAGAGAGAGAGGAGAUUGGGAGAAAAAGAGAAGAAGAGAGAGUGAGAAAAAGAGAGAGGAAGAGAGACAGAGAAAAAGAGAGGAGGAGAGGUAAAGAGAGAGGGGGAUAGAGAGUAAGAGAGAAAAAGGGAAAAGAGAGUGGAAGAGAGAGAGGGAGGAAAGAAAAAAAAGAAGAGAGGAAGAGAGAGAAAAAGAAGAAGAGAGAGAUAAAAAUAGAGUGGAAGUAAAAGAAAAAUAGAGAGUGGAAGAAAGAGGAGAAGAGAGAAAACAGAGGAAGAGAGAGAGAAAAAGAGGAAAGAGAGGAAGAGAGAGAAAUAGAGAGUAGAAGAGAGCGGGAGAGAGGGAGAGAGAGGAAGAGAGAAAAAAUAAAGAGUAGAA
rnacentral:lncRNA from 1 species